AGAAACGUUGUUUAUAUAGAGAUAUACCAUAGUAUACUGAAGUGACUUCAGUAUACUAUAGAUAUACUUCAGUAUACUAUAGAUAUAUACAGUAAAAGUGGCUGUACACAGUAUCCGGCAUGCGAAUUCGCUUACAAAUCGUGCAAACCCAUUACCCAGUUCCGCAUGCGGUAGCGAAAUCCGAACAAAACGGACAAAACGGACGAAUUUCGGAUACUGUGUACCCAGCUUAGACUUUUACAAUUUUGGUCAG